rnacentral:tRNA from 1 species
GAGGGUAUAGCUCAGCAGUAGAGCGUGUGUUUAGCAUGCAGGAGGUCCUGGGUUCCAUCCCCGGUAUUUCUG